UACGUAGGGGGCCAGCGUUGCUCGGAAUUAUUGGGCGUAAAGAGCUCGUAGGCGGCCUGUUGCGUCCGCUGUGAAAGCCCGGGGCUUAACCCCGGGUCUGCAGUGGAUACGGGCAGGCUAGAGGUAGGUAGGGGAGAAUGGAAUUCCCGGUGUAGCGGUGAAAUGCGCAGAUAUCGGGAGGAACACCGGUGGCGAAGGCGGUUCUCUGGGCCUUACCUGACGCUGAGGAGCGAAAGCGUGGGGAGCGAACAGG
rnacentral:rRNA from 1 species